rnacentral:rRNA from 1 species
CCUACGGGUGGCAGCAGUGAGGAAUAUUGGUCAAUGGGCGCGAGCCUGAACCAGCCAAGUAGCGUGAAGGAUGACUGCCCUACGGGUUGUAAACUUCUUUUAUAAAGGAAUAAAGUGAGGCACGUGUGCCUUUUUGUAUGUACUUUAUGAAUAAGGAUCGGCUAACUCCGUGCCAGCAGCCGCGGUAAUACGGAGGAUCCGAGCGUUAUCCGGAUUUAUUGGGUUUAAAGGGAGCGUAGAUGGGUUGAUAAGUCAGUUGUGAAAGUUUGCGGCUCAACCUUAGAAUUGCAACUGAUACUGGCAGGCUUGAGUACAGUUGAGGUAGGCGGAAUGCGUGGUGUAGCGGUGAAAUGCUUAGAGAUCACGCAGAACACCGAUUGCGAAGGCAGCUUACUAAGCUGCCACUGACAUUGAUGCUCGAAAGUGUGGGUAUCAAACAGGAUUAGAUACCCCAGUAGUC